GCUAAACUACACAAUACCUACUGUACAACAGGUAUCUCGAAUUUCGAAAUCCAAAUCGAGGAAAAAGGGUCCUCGAUCGCCUGUUUAACUUACAAUAAAAAGCGGAAUAAUGGCGAGUGAUACGAACUCAACACUUGACAUAACUGCGACAGAUAUGCGAAACAAGGAAAUUGAAUUCAUCAGGACAUAUUUCAAUAGUGUUUGACAACAAGAGCAUUAUUUGCUGGGAGAAUAUGAAGGAGAUGCUGAAAGUUUGGAGAGGAUCUUGGAUUCUUACGCUUUGUUAUCGUCGAUGUCAUUUGUUUGUUCACAAACGCACAACAAACGCAAAGACCACAAACGCUUUUCAAUAAAUAGUAAGGAAACAGUGCAUAGCAUCAAAAAGUACGGCACUGCAAAAAUACAAUAUGUAACGGAAAAAAGUGUUCAUUGGAGUUUACAAACUUUAAUUUAUGCUAAUUAUUACAAAAGUUCUUACGGACCGAAGCAUCAUCUCUACGUGUUUUUAUAGCUCCACCUGUAUUCCAAGAUAAUAAAGGCAAUGUACCAAUUGCGAUUUCCAUUUACAAUAGAAAGCACAUAAACUAGGCAAUGCAUACAUGGAUCAGAAAAGGUCAGAUUUUAAACGCUGUAUUACAACGAGAUAGAUUAAACAGUUAUCACAUUUUUAAUCAACAGGCUAAGCAAAAUGACCAUUUUUAGGACUCGCGAGGAGGAGCAAAUAAACAAAAAAAUCUGCUGAGCACAAUUACGCCACCAAAACAUAUCAAAAAUUGCAGAACAGUCAAAAACUUGGCUGCCCAGCAACAAUCCAGAUUCGUGAAAUAAAAGUUUUUAAGGACUACUAUCUUGACAAGACUCUUUAUCCAACAGCGAACAGCUUGAAAAAAGCAGAAAAAAACGUUUUAGAUAAACUAUGAGCAGACAUUUCUAAGACUCCAAACAAUAUGAACACCUCAUGAAAGUGCUACGUGAAACUACCUUUAUCAUCACAACACCAGAAUCAUGUAGUUGGAAGUUCUGUCAAAAUCAGCUACAACGUUGACAAACGAGUAAUAAGUAAAAUUCACGAGCUUGUCAGUAAGAACGUUACUCAACCCUUUGUUUCCAAGUUGAGCCUUGUUCGAAAUCAGGCAUUCACCGUCAACGAACUAAAAUCUUUGAAAGAAGCGCUUGACUACGCAAAUAAACUGCACGAAAUCUUAAAUCGAAAUUGCCCAGUCAGCGAAGGUUUUCCAAUUGGAAAUAGUCCAACAAAAAAGCGUUUGAAAGUAACAAGUGCGGAGUAUCAUGAAGUAUUUCAUAAAAAAUUGCCUCUUCGUUGCAAAAAAGAAGCAUGCUAAUAACUAUAUCACAACAAUGAUCCCAGACAUAAGUCAAAAGAGCGCUGUAUCAUCAAACAAGAAUGCACUUGAAGAGCCAGUUGAGCAAGAAUUGUUGUAUGACAGUUAAACAGAGGAAAUCCAGGCAUCACAAGAAAGCACUUAAGUACCGCCAUUAACAACUUGGAACAACAAGAAAGCACCUACACUGAUACUUGCAAACAGUUGACAUACAAUUCAUUGUUUCUGACUCCAAGGCCACAAAUAAAUGCAUUUACAGAAAGACAGUGUCUUGGGGAUACUGUGCUGGAAUUUGGUCCUGUGAAUGUAUUAACAGUAGAUCUUUGGUCACUUGUCAGUCCAAAAGAUAUAACUGAAAAAGAAUUGAAAAUUAUUGAAAAAGAAGUUACCACAUUCAAACCUGGUUGGCUGACUGACUCUGUAAUUGACGCUUUUUUGUGGAGUUUGACUGAAAACUACACUACUGUUCUUGCAGCAGAAUCAUUUAUUUCGGACUUUGUUAAAAACAACUCAAGCACAAGAUGCACAUGGGCUUAUAGAUCUUAUCACCAAACCAAAAUUAUCCUUUUUCCAAUCAACAUCCAUGACAUUCACUGGACACUACUGGCUAUAGAUAAGUUCUCAAAAACAGACUCUACUUGACCACUUGGAGGAAGUGCAGACAAAAAGAGACCUGAUAAACAGAUGAUGUAUCAUAUAAACAAACAAAGUGGUCACGUUUGUCACUGUUUUAGUGCUUUGGUAGAUGUAAAAACAGGUUGGAACUCAAGCUCAUGGCAAUGUUUUGAACCACUCCAUUGUAAACAGGAAGACAUGUAUAACUGUGGAGUGUACAUAUGCUUGGGAGCAAAUUGUGGCUGUUUGCAAAAUAUGCAGAGAGGAUGACAAUGAAGACUGGCUGGGUUGUGAUCAAUGUGGUCAAUUUUUUCAUGCAAGUUGCCUUAAUGUUGACUUUGCCAUAACCUUGUCAACACAUUUUAGAUGCAGAUAAAAUUAUUAUCAAUAUUAUUUGACAUGCAACAAAAUCAUUAUUAUGGUAUCAGUGCGAAUUGUGCAAUUAAAAUGAGUGCUUCAAAAUAUAGUAAUGUGUGAAUGAUAAAUACUUUAAUUUAAGGUAAAAUGAACUGGAAGAUUUAAUUGAUUCGGUACAAUUGUGCUUGCCACUAAUUGAAUCUCACACAUGCAAUGAAUAGUUUGAAACUGUUGAUGAAAUGUUAUAAUAAACAACAAGUUUUACAAAUAUAUCUGAAAUAAAAUGGCUUAUUCCUAUUUCUUA